rnacentral:lncRNA from 14 species
CCAACCCCAGGAACCAGGUAAUUCUAAGAGAAGUGUCCAGCCCUAUAUUUAGUCACCGGAUACCUGUUAUUUACAAAAGAUAGCUUGCACCCGAAUCCAGCUCCCAUCUGGAAGCAACUACUCCCCAAAAUAACUGUAAGGAAGGUAGUAAGCACUGUGAAAAGACAGAGACUCCCAUAGUCCUGGCAUCCCGGCCCCCGGACACCCGGAGCCAUGGCCAGCCCCCUCGUCUUUGCCUACCCAGAUCCUGAGAGUGAGGUCUUCAGCAGAAUCGGUAUUUCUCAUUCCAAGAGUCUACAAGGGAAGGUGUCGCUCGGCUAAGAAAAGGCAAGACUAGGGCUCCACCCAGAAUCUCCAGCCUCCUGAGACACACCUAGCUACCUCCAGGCAAAUGAAAGAGGCAGUCAGAUCUGUUCUAGUGCCCAGACACGCAAAACCCCAAAAAUAAGAGUCCCUGGGUCCCGGGUCCUUCCUGGGGGAGGGGCUAGUGGCGCUGACAUCCCCGCCCUCUUAGCUUAGUCCUGGCCCCCCUGCAGCAAGAAAGACUGCAGUCUCUCAGUCUCUCUGUUCUCCUUCCUCUGCGCCCCCCAGCCCUGACAUUAUUUCCCGCUUCGCUGUUUCUUGGAUGAUUCUCAAGAGUUUGUGCAAUCGCAUAUGUAUGAAAACGUUAUAAUGAAACGCAGCACUUUGCAUGCUAACAUAAAAUAAGUUUAAAAUAAUAAAACGUGUGUGUGUGUGUGUGUGUGUGUGUGUGUGUGUGUGUGUGUGUGUGUGUGUUCUGUUGAGCGGUUCCCCUGCCAUCUUCAAAUGCUGGAUGGUGCCUCUUUGCAGUGGGAACAGGUCGUUGGAAAAGUUGUUACGAGAUUUCCUCUCAUCACCCAACACAGCAAAGUUAGCGCCUGAGACUUUGCCUAGGCUUGAUUUUGGCUUGGUCCUUCCUUCACUGUUAAAAGUCUGUCUGUCUCUCAAAUUCGGGUGUCUCUCACUUUACCUCUACCUGCUGUACUCCUUUCCCAUCUCGUCCGGAAGAAGUGCCAUCCCGCCCUGUCCUGUCCUACAGCAGGAAAAGACACCUACUCCUUUUCUAAGACUCACUGAUUUGAUGUGGCAUGCCAAGGACCAGCAUCAGCUUGGGAGAGGGUCCUGAGGAAGGGGUGUUUGGACGCAGUGGAAGAAUGACUCAAAGUCAAUGAUGCGGUGAGAGCUGACAACUCUAUAGCAUGCUCAAGAUGACUUUCUAGGUAGCUAAACUCUGGCAGACUAAAGCUGUCUUUUAUUUGUGUAAGCUACUUUCUUAGGAAUUGCAUAUCAAUUUAAUCAUUUACCUCAGGUUCCUUCUUGAUUAUCCCACAAAUUAACUUUUUAUGACCUUAGUCACUUGAUUCUUAGAAAAACACAGCAAGUACAUUUUUUAACAUAGCGAGUCCUAUAUGGUUCAUUGGGCACAGCACUCGUGGUUGCUAAAUCCAGACACACAGGCUAUUUUUAUGUAAGAAAGUUAGCUUUCUAUUUUCCAAUUCCUUCACUUCCUAAGCAUGGGUGUCCUGGAACUUGCUGUGUAGACAGACCUUGUACUCAGGGAUUUGCAUGGCUCUGUCUCAAAGGUGCGUACCACCAGGCCUAGA